GAUGAACGCUGGCGGCGUGCCUAAUACAUGCAAGUCGAGCGAACAGACGAGGAGCUUGCUCCUCUGACGUUAGCGGCGGACGGGUGAGUAACACGUGGAUAACCUACCUAUAAGACUGGGAUAACUUCGGGAAACCGGAGCUAAUACCGGAUAAUAUAUUGAACCGCGUGGUUCAAUAGUGAAAGACGGUUUUGCUGUCACUUAUAGAUGGAUCCGCGCCGCAUUAGCUAGUUGGUAAGGUAACGGCUUACCAAGGCAACGAUGCGUAGCCGACCUGAGAGGGUGAUCGGCCACACUGGAACUGAGACACGGUCCAGACUCCUACGGGAGGCAGCAGUAGGGAAUCUUCCGCAAUGGGCGAAAGCCUGACGGAGCGACGCCGCGUGAGUGAUGAAGGUCUUCGGAUCGUAAAACUCUGUUAUUAGGGAAGAACAAAUGUGUAAGUAACUAUGCACGUCUUGACGGUACCUAAUCAGAAAGCCACGGCUAACUACGUG
rnacentral:rRNA from 1 species